CACGCAGGCGGGAAGACAGGUCAGAUGUGAAACCCCAAGGCUUAACCAUGGGCCUGCAUCUGAAACCAUCUUUCUUGAGUAUCGGAGAGGAAAGCGGAACUCCUGGUGUAGCGGUGAAAUGCGUAGAUAUCAGGAGGAACACCGGUGGCGAAGGCGGCUUUCUGGCCGAAUACUGACGCUCAUGUACGAAGGCCGGGGGAGCAAACA
rnacentral:rRNA from 1 species